CUUGAUGGCACCCAGCCACAGCGGCUGCCCCUCGGGCCGCCCCUGACCGUAGGUUGCCAGCAGCGCCUGCGCCUC
rnacentral:antisense_RNA from 1 species